rnacentral:lncRNA from 10 species
GCUGGCUCCGGGCCCGGGACUGGGGGAGAGGACUUGGGGCAGAUCUAGGAAGGACUUCCCAGUUGGGCGAAGGAAGGGACCCUCCAGUUGCCUGAGUUACAUCCAUUCUUGGGGCCGGGUUGGGGAGCAGAGCUCCGAGACAAGACAAUCCCUGCUCUCAGGGAGGCCGAGGGGGACGGCAAGAAUAACAGCUGGCCGCGUGUGGGGAUGCAGUGUGUGCUCCCUUUAGUACUCUAUGCCUGCACGAUGUGUGUGUGUGUGUGUGUGUGUGUGUGUGUGUGUGUGUGUGUGUAGGAGACAGCUCCCAGGGUGAGUCCAUUCUACAGGUGGAAGUUGAAGCCCAGAGAUCAGUAGCGAUCGCCGAGCAAGUGCAGGGCUGAGACCAAACCCUUUCUCGUGCCUCCUGAGGCUCCCAGGCGGACAACCUCAGGAGGGGUGGGGGUUGAGGUCUGGAACUCCUCUGAGGGGUCUGGGUGUCCUAUGCACCCUGGAUCAAAGGCCUGAGGGUCGAGGUGAAGAUCCCGGGGGCUCUCAUCCUCAUCACGGGGACCCAAGACCUGUGACGAGUCCUGGACACGGCUCGCCCACCCUACCAGGCUCUGGGCCACCUCUGGCCUGAGAUCUUCACUACAGGCUCCUCGUCCCAGGUCAGAGUGAGGGCUCAGCGGACUAGAACUCGGGUCUCUGGUGCAGGUCCCGCGCGAUCCAGCCCGGCUCAAGAAGGCCAGGCGACCUGGAAUGCCCGGGAGACACGGAGAAGGAGGCUGUGGUCGCGGGAGAGGGUCGGGAGUGCGGGGAUCCGAGGGAGGCUGCCUCCUCCCGGAAGCCGUCCGGACUGUGCAGCCGAGGCCGGCGGAAAAGAUCCAGGGGGGCCGCGUCGGGGCCACCGGGGCGGCGGGCGGGGCGAGCCUG